rnacentral:rRNA from 1 species
AUGAGUUGUUUUCACCUCUCGAAGAAGACGUGCCGGAACCUGACUUCAAUCUCGUCCAAAUUCUUGUGGGGUGCAAUGAAUGGUGAGAGAAAGGUCCAUUGGAUCGCUUGGGAGAAGAUGUGUGCGAGCAAGAGGGAUGGGGGCAUGGGUUUUCGUGACCCCGAGGCCUUCAACCAAGCGUUGUUGGCGAAACAAGCAUGGCGUAUUCUUCAAGUCCCAACUUCUCUAUGUGCUAGAGUGCUUAAAGCAAGGUAUUUUCAAGAUAACUCAAUCCUGUCCAGCUUCGGGCUUGUUCACCUUCAGGAGUAUUUUGCAUGGCCGGGAUUUGCUAAGGGAGGGCCUCAUAUGGAGAGUUGGGUCAGGGGUCAACAUUAA